ACUAAUAAAAUGCCAUUUUAAUAACUUUUUUUUUUUACAAGGAGUCCACCUAUACACUAUAGAAAAAUAAACACCAAAGAGACUCUUUGCAACUUACAAUACAGCAAGGCAGGCACACUUCAGCUGUUAAUGUAGUAAUUUCACAUGAGAAUGUAAAACACUGUUCUUAGUGAAAAGUAAUUUCCUCUUAGAGUACUAAAAUAUAAUAAAAAGUCAUAUAAAAAUCUGACGCAAAAGCACUGCCCUUUCUUCAGUUGCACAAGAGGUCACAAGUGCCUCUGUUACGUAUGGACUGACUCAGAAGGAAGCAGUAACUGAGGGAAGGCGUUGCAGUAUGGAUCUCAGGAGCAUCCUCAUCACUUCAUGUUCCUCUGGCGAGGAGGGCCUGGAACUUGUCCUAAAUGUAAAUAAAACAAACGAAUAUUAGAAACCCAUUUGUGUUACGAAGCAACAGGGUGCGCUUGGCAGCAUGUAAUUUCCUCCACAUGCUUCAUGAGCUACCCUGAAAGCAAUUCCCGUUUUCAUGAGCCACCUAGGAACAAUACAAACCAAGAUUUGGAAGCUUCCCCAUCCGCCAAAGCAAACCUUCACCAUCAAACCAGUGCUCCAUCACCCACUUCACACACCACAAACAGCUUUGAGCAGUUCAACUCUACUGCUCUGGUGAUGAUUUAACACAUGUUCUGUUGCUGGAGAAAGUCUUGUCACCGAGUAGAUGUUUUAAAGUUCAUUAGAAACUGGGAGAGCAUUUUGCUCACAGCACUGUUGUAAAGGCUGCAGCAUCACUCUAAUUCCUGACACCAUUCUGGUGACAUGGAAAUUACCAAAGUGACAGGCAUUUUCCACACGGAAUUGCUAUUAAUGGUGUCCCAAUUGUGGAAUACUUAUUCCAUGCUUGCCAUAAAGCAAAAUACCUUAUUUCUAUAAAUGCUGCCAGGUUUCAAUUCUAACAUUUGUUUCUCCAUCUGCCAUAAAUAAUUGCAGUAUUUAGGGGAGGGGGAGAAACAAAAAACAAACCCCAAACCCACAAAGUCAUGGAAUUAAGGUUUCUAGGCAAAAUCCUGCUGAGAACCAUGUCAGGAGUUCC
rnacentral:lncRNA from 1 species